GCAGUGGUUCAAUGGAAGAGCAUCUGCUUCACAUUCCAAAAGUCCCGGGUUCAAUCCCCAGCGUCUACA
rnacentral:tRNA from 1 species